AUUGAACGCUGGCGGCAUGCUUUACACAUGCAAGUCGAACGGCAGCGCGGGCUUCGGCCUGGCGGCGAGUGGCGAACGGGUGAGUAAUACAUCGGAACGUGCCCAGUAGUGGGGGAUAGCUCGGCGAAAGCCGGAUUAAUACCGCAUACGACCUGAGGGUGAAAGCGGGGGAUCUUCGGACCUCGCGCUAUUGGAGCGGCCGAUGGCAGAUUAGCUAGUUGGUGGGGUAAAGGCCUACCAAGGCGACGAUCUGUAGCUGAUCUGAGAGGACGACCAGCCACACUGGGACUGAGACACGGCCCAGACUCCUACGGGAGGCAGCAGUGGGGAAUUUUGGACAAUGGGCGAAAGCCUGAUCCAGCAAUGCCGCGUGUGUGAUGAAGGCCUUCGGGUUGUAAAGCACUUUUGGCGGGAACGAAAAGGACUGUGCCAAUACCACGGUUCGAUGACGGUACCCGCAGAAUAAGCACCGGCUAACUACGUG
rnacentral:rRNA from 1 species